rnacentral:rRNA from 1 species
UACGGGGGGGGCAAGCGUUGUUCGGAAUUACUGGGCGUAAAGGGCUCGUAGGUGGCCAACUAAGUCAGACGUGAAAUCCCCAGGCUCAACUUGGGAACUGCGUCUGAUACUGGAUGGCUUGAAUUCGGGAGAGGGAUGCAGAAUUCCAGGUGUAGCGGUGAAAUGCGUUGAUAUUGGAAGGAACGCCGGUGGCGAAAGCGAGCUGCUGGACCUCUUCUGACACUGAGGCGCGAAAGCUAGGGGAGCAAACGGG